rnacentral:rRNA from 1 species
AACGAACGCUGGCGGCAGGCUUAACACAUGCAAGUCGAGCGCCCCGCAAGGGGAGCGGCAGACGGGUGAGUAACACGUGGGAACGUGCCUUUUGCUACGGAAUAGCUCCGGGAAACUGGAAUUAAUACCGUAUGUGCCCUUCGGGGGAAAGAUUUAUCGGCAAAAGAUCGGCCCGCGUCUGAUUAGCUAGUUGGUGGGGUAAUGGCCUACCAAGGCGACGAUCAGUAGCUGGUCUGAGAGGAUGAUCAGCCACACUGGGACUGAGACACGGCCCUGACUCCUACGGGAGGCAGCAGUGGGGAAUAUUGGACAAUGGGCGCAAGCCUGAUCCAGCCAUGCCGCGUGAGUGAUGAAGGCCUUAGGGUUGUAAAGCUCUUUCGCUAGGGAAGAUAAUGACGGUACCUGCAGAAGAAGCCCCGGCCAACUACGUGCCAGCCGCCGCAGUAACAC